rnacentral:rRNA from 1 species
CCUACGGGAGGCAGCAGUGGGGAAUAUUGGACAAUGGGCGAAAGCCUGAUCCAGCAAUGCCGCGUGAGUGAUGAAGGCCUUAGGGUUGUAAAGCUCUUUUACCAGGGAUGAUAAUGACAGUACCUGGAGAAUAAGCUCCGGCUAACUCCGUGCCAGCAGCCGCGGUAAUACGGAGGGAGCUAGCGUUGUUCGGAAUUACUGGGCGUAAAGCGUACGUAGGCGGUUAUUCAAGUCAGAGGUGAAAGCCUGGAGCUCAACUCCAGAACUGCCUUUGAAACUAGAUAGCUAGAAUCACGGAGAGGUUAGUGGAAUUCCGAGUGUAGAGGUGAAAUUCGUAGAUAUUCGGAAGAACACCAGUGGCGAAGGCGACUAACUGGACGUGUAUUGACGCUGAGGUACGAAAGCGUGGGGAGCAAACAGGAUUAGAUACCCUGGUAGUCCACGCCGUAAACGAUGAUAACUAGCUGUUCGGUCUCUACGAGACUGAGUGGCGCAGCUAACGCAUUAAGUUAUCCGCCUGGGGAGUACGGUCGCAAGAUUAAAACUUAAAGAGUAUAGACGNGNGAGNGCGACGAGACACACGGAGGAGAG